UUUCCUACGGGACGCAGCAGUGGGGAAUAUUGCACAAUGGGGGGAACCCUGAUGCAGCGACGCCGCGUGGGCGAGGAAGUAUUUCGGUAUGUAAAGCCCUAUCGGCAGGGAAGAAGAAAUGACGGUACCUGAAUAAGAAGCACCGGCUAAAUACGUGCCAGCAGCCGCGGUAAAACGUAUGGUGCAAGCGUUAUCCGGAUUUACUGGGCGUAAAGGGGACGCAGGCGGCGGGCCAAGGCUGGUG
rnacentral:rRNA from 1 species